rnacentral:rRNA from 1 species
CCAUGAAUCUGGUCUUGGGACACUGUCAGGUGGGCAGUUUGACUGGGGCGGUCGCCUCCCAAAAGGUAACGGAGGCGCUCAAAGGUUCUCUCAGUACGGUCGGAAAGCGUACGUAGAGUGUAAAGGCAAAAGAGAGCUUGAUUGCAAGACAUACAGGUCGAGCAAGGAUGAAAAUCGGACUUAGUGAUCCGGUGGUUCUGCGUGGAAGGGCCAUCGCUCAACGGAUAAAAGCUACCC